CUGGGUGCAAGGCCAUGGGCGGUGAGCACAGGGGGUCGUAAUGAUCUUAACCCUUCCUCUUCUAGAUCUCCAUCAGCAGUGAGCUGCACACUGGCUCCAUUCCCCUGGACGAGAGCAGCAGUGACAUGCUGGUCAUUGUGGAUGACCCAGCCUCCUCAGCCCCUCAGUCUCGAGCUACCAACUCUCCCGCAUCCAUAACAGGCUCCGUCUCAGAUACCGUGAAUGGAAUUUCCAUUCAGGAAAUGCCAGCUGCAGGACGUGGUCACUCAGCCCGAAGCCGAGGCCGCCCCAAAGGUUCAGGAAGCACAGCCAAAGGAGCAGGGAAGGGCCGGAGCCGAAAGUCCACGGCAGGCAGUGCUGCUGCAAUGGCAGGAGCCAAAGCCGGGGCUGCAGCGGCCUCUGCAGCUGCCUAUGCCGCAUACGGGUACAACGUGUCUAAAGGAAUCUCCGCCAGCAGUCCUCUGCAGACAUCCCUUGUUCGGCCUGCUGGCCUUGCUGACUUUGGACCUUCAAGCGCCUCUUCUCCUUUGAGUUCCCCUUUGAGCAAGGGAAAUAAUGUUCCUGGGAAUCCCAAGAACCU
rnacentral:lncRNA from 1 species